AAUUAUAAAUUCUCACCCUUAUGUAGUUUAUAUUCUAGUGAUCUUCAAUUCUUAGUAUCAGCAGAUACUUCAGGAGGGUCUUUUCAUGUCAUUAUACACUGGGUGGGGCAAGCCUGAUUUUUAUUUAAAAUUUUCAAAAGCUUUAUACUUUAAUUGAUCACAUGUUAGUUCAACAAAAUACGAUGAGCUUCCCAAAAUCUAACCCCUUUCUGCAUACUUUCUUUACCUCUGACAAGGUUAUAUGGCCACCUCACCUCCCCUUACUUCACCUCCCGUGCACCUGGGGGAAUCCACUCAGUAGUGCCCUGGUUUUGGAAUCAGAUUAGCGCAAAUAUGCUGCUGUGGCAACUGUGGAAUGAACAGGCCAAUACUGAAAAUCUCCUCAAGAAAGGGCCACAGGUGAUUUGGGGAACCUGGAAACUCUGCCUGUGCUUGUUAACAACAAAUACCGCCUUCUGAGGGAUAUAAGGCUUCUAAAUCAGGAGACUCUCA